rnacentral:rRNA from 1 species
CGAACGAGACCUUCGGGUCUAGUGGCGCACGGGUGCGUAACACGUGGGAAUCUGCCCUUGGGUUCGGAAUAACUCAGAGAAAUUUGAGCUAAUACCGGAUGAUGACGUAAGUCCAAAGAUUUAUCGCCCAGGGAUGAGCCCGCGGAGGAUUAGCUAGUUGGUGGGGUAAAGGCUCACCAAGGCGACGAUCCUUAGCUGGUCUGAGAGGAUGAUCAGCCACACUGGGACUGAGACACGGCCCAGACUCCUACGGGAGGCAGCAGUGGGGAAUAUUGGACAAUGGGCGAAAGCCUGAUCCAGCAAUGCCGCGUGAGUGAUGAAGGCCCUAGGGUUGUAAAGCUCUUUUACCCGGGAAGAUAAUGACUGUACCGGGAGAAUAAGCUCCGGCUAACUCCGUGCCAGCAGCCGCGGUAAUACGGAGGGAGCUAGCGUUGUUCGGAAUUACUGGGCGUAAAGCGCACGUAGGCGGCUUUGCAAGUUAGAGGUGAAAGCCCGGGGCUCAACCCCGGAAUAGCCUUUAAAACUGCAUCGCUUGAAUCCAGGAGAGGUGAGUGGAAUUCCGAGUGUAGA